rnacentral:rRNA from 1 species
UACGUAGGGGGCGAGCGUUGUCCGGAUUUAUUGGGCGUAAAGAGCGUGUAGGCGGCCAGGUAGGUCUGCUGUGAAAACUCGAGGCUCAACCUCGAGACGUCGACGGAAACCGUCUGGCUAGAGUCCGGAAGAGGAGUGUGGAAGUUCCUGGUGUAGCGGUGAAAUGCGCAGAUAUCAGGAAGAACACCUAUGGCGAAGGCAGCACUCUGGGACGGUACUGACGCUGAGACGCGAAAGCGUGGGGAGCGAACAGG